rnacentral:ncRNA from 1 species
CAAAAUGCAUGGAAAACGAAGAUUCUAAACGGAAUUAUUCCAGAGAGAAGGACAGCGGUGAGAGUCCUUUAUAAUGAAUUUAGGGUUGCCACGUUUGAGCAGCUGUCAAGAAAGCUUGAAUUGACUUCAAGAUAGUAUCGGCAGCCGGGAAACCGUUAACUAAUAAAGUGAGUGAUGGCCCAGCCAACACUAAUUUGGGUGGUACCGCGGAUUAUAACCGUCCCUUGC